AUUGAACGCUGGCGGCAGGCCUAACACAUGCAAGUCGAGCGGUAGCACAGAGAGCUUGCUCUCGGGUGACGAGCGGCGGACGGGUGAGUAAUGUCUGGGAAACUGCCUGAUGGAGGGGGAUAACUACUGGAAACGGUAGCUAAUACCGCAUAACGUCGCAAGACCAAAGAGGGGGACCUUCGGGCCUCUUGCCAUCAGAUGUGCCCAGAUGGGAUUAGCUAGUAGGUGGGGUAACGGCUCACCUAGGCGACGAUCCCUAGCUGGUCUGAGAGGAUGACCAGCCACACUGGUACUGAGACACGGUCCAGACUCCUGCGGGAGGCAGCAGUGGGGAAUAUUGCACAAUGGGCGCAAGCCUGAUGCAGCCAUGCCGCGUGUAUGAAGAAGGCCUUCGGGUUGUAAAGUACUUUCAGCGGGGAGGAAGGCGAUAAGGUUAAUAACCUUGUCGAUUGACGUUACCCGCAGAAGAAGCACCGGCUAACUCCGUGCCAGCCGCCGCCGUAA
rnacentral:rRNA from 1 species